AGACAGCCCCUACUGCACCCCAAGCUUCCAGAAUCAGAGAAGCCAGUUUCGGCCAGACAGCCUCGACCAGCACCCACAGGUUCAAUCACACAUAUUACCAUCAUAUUACAAGUGUGUAUGUGUGUGUUAUGACUGUGUGUGUGUGUGUGUGUGUGUGUGUGUGUGGUGUGUGUGUGUGUGUGUGUGUGUUGUGUGUGUGUUUGUGUGUUGUGUGUUUCAGUAAGUGGAGGUGGUCAGUUGGUCCGAAGCGUGUGGGUGUGAAGGACUUGGCCAGCGGUUCUCUGAUGUGACGAGACUCAACCAACAACAUGAGAGCUAUAUCAUGAAAGGAACGCAUCAUAUCUCUUCGCCACACUACAACUGUAGCAACGACAGCACCCUGACUCUGACCGAGUGUGUGGAGGAAGAUCAAGGAGGAAUACGAGGACAGCUACAGGGUAACCGUGGUGAUAAAGGGGUAUGACUUCUCUCUCUCUGUGGUUCCGCUGAGGUCUGUGGAUGAGGGAGAGAAUUCUCUGCCUCGCCUACUCCGGUUGGCUCAGGAUGAGCUCAGGGGCUUUUCCCAGGGCGCCAUAGCAAUUGUCGCUGCCGGGACCAAGCUCCAGGUGCUGAUAGACUGGCUGCUUAGUCGGGGGGAGCGAAUGGCGGAGCAGGUCAGGGAGGUGGCACCAACUCAUCAGGACCACUGUAGGCUGGAGGAGAACCUGAUUGAGACCAUGCAGGAAGUGAGAAGGGUGAGGGAGCUUUCGCUAGGGUACUGCCAGCAGGCUAGAGAGAUCCAAACUGAGGCUGCACAGAUAGCAGGGCUGGCCUGACACAUACAUACAGACACACUCUGGUAACACUGAAUCUAUAAAUGUCACAUUUAAAUCUUAUGGGAAUUAAUUUAGGCUAUUUUUACUAUCAUGUAAAAGCACAAUAUGGACCUACACUGUUACACAACACACUAGAUAGUAUUUCAGUAUUAUAUAGUGAGUAUGUCUAUAAACAUGUUAGAGAAAUGAGCUGUGAUAUAUCCUAAUGUAUUCUGGACAGGAAUUCCUCAUCUAAAUCCUCAUCUAAUCAAACACUGUGUUGAUUAAACCACUGUCAAUGUUAGAUAUCAUGUUAGUGUUUUUUCUAUGUUAAUACUGUAUGUUAUUGUAUUUUAUAACAAAUGAAAACUGCAAACUGUUGUUAGCGUCUUAAGGUUUGAAUGAAUAUGUUUGAGUGACAUACAGUAGUUGAGUAUUAAACAUUUUUAUUCCACACAUCACAAACACUUAGCACACAGAGACUCCUUACUGGUACUGACUAGACCCUGCAGCAGGAGAAGGGGAUGGAGGAAGGGGUAGGGAGAGGGUGGGAGAGACUGCGUGGGGGGUUAGGGGUGGGAGAGAGCGAGCGAGAGAGAUGUGCGUGUGUGUUAAGAGGGAAAAAAGGGAGAUGAGAGGAUGGAAGAAAAAGCUUCGCUACUGAUAUGUUGCUGCUGUAGUGUGGGCUAGGACAUGCCAGUCAAUAACUUACAUAAUGUAUUAGCUCAAAUGUUAAGUACUGCAAUUAUCUGAAGGCCCACUGUUUUUAUGCAUCCAUAACCUUUUGCAUGGCCAUUAGCUAUGCACCUCAUACUGAGACUGGCAGACAGGCUUUUCCCAGGUUAAUUAUUAUGUCAACCUUAUAUAAUUAAGCAAUAAGGCCCAUACCACAGCUAAGGGCUGCUCUUUCAUUUUAGUCAUUUAGCAGAUGCUGUUAUCGAGAGUGAUUUACAUGAGCAAUUAGGGUUAAAUACCUUGGCCAAUGGCACAUCAACAUAUGUUUCACCCAGUUGGCUUGGGGAUUCAAACCAGUGACCCUGACCCAACGCUCUUAACCACUAGGCUACCUGCCGACAACGCAACAUGGAGUGCCUGGACACAGCCCUUAGCCGUGGUAUCCCAUAUAUCACAAACCCCUGACAAAAUUAGAGCAGUAAAAAUUCAUGUUUUGUAUAUGGUCUGAUAUAGCACGGAUGUCAGCCAAUCAGCAUUCAGGGCUCGACCACCCAGUUUAUCAUUAUUAUUACAGACCUACCAUAACAUUUUUAUAUAAUGGAGCCGGCAGUAAAAACCAUGUACAUACAAUUUAUAAUCCAGCAUAUUAUAAAUACAUACCCUUUAAAGAGUUGACAACAUAGCUGCUACUCUCUGUUAUUAUCUAUGCAUAGCCACAUUAAUAAUCCUACCUGCAUGUACAUAAUUACCUCAAUUACCCCGACACUGGUGCCCACAUAUUGACUCUGAACCGGUACCCACUGUAUAUAGCCCCGCUAUUGUUAUUUACUACUGCUCCUUAAUUGUUUGUUUUUCUUAUCUAUUACUUUUUUUGUAUUUUUCUUAAAGUAAGCAUUUCACUGUAAGGUCUACUACACCGGUUGUAUUCGGCGCAUGUGACAAAUAAAAAUAGAUUUGAUUUAAUAUGGAACAUAGUAUACUUUCCUUUUUAAAAUCACGUAUCAAAGUUUCAUUUAAACUAUAAGAUAUGAUGACUAAAACACAAAGGUCAUAAAUCAUAUAACUAUGACCAUGGCCGGACUGUCAAACAGCGAUGACAGCGACAAUCUACCCUAUUUGUAAAAAAAAUAUUAUGUCCCGCCCCUACAUCAAAUUUAAUUGGUCGCUAUUUCUGAAGGCGCGGUUCUUACUUUUUAUACUGCUUAGCCAUUGGCUUACCAUUCCUGUCAUUCCGAAUUAGUCCUUCUCGAGUUCACUCUAGUGUUGGAGAGUGGUGGGAGUAAAUGAAAAUGGAGGUUUUGAUGUUGAUUAAUGAUUUAGCUUGCUAGUGUCUUUAUGGAGUAAUUGAUAUCUACCAAUUUCCUCGGACGGAACAAUAGUGGACUUGGAGACAAAGGAAAUCUCGAGAUAGCAUGAUAGUAAGUAAACAAACAACUUUCCAGCCAGCUAGUUAGUUCGUCUUUUUGGAGAGCGCUUUCUGCAUGCACAUUUUCAAUUUGAAACCUGGCCGAUUCGGCUAGAGAUUAUGUCGAGCUCGGAAGCAUAUAAAUUAGCUAGAUCUGCUGCUAGCGACCUCACACAAAGUAAUUUGCGAGAAUAGUUAAAUAGCUACAGUUUGUAUGUAGCGAGCUUGUGUAUAGCUGUCGACCAGACUUGCGAAGCUGUGUGAAAGGUG
ensembl:lncRNA